rnacentral:rRNA from 1 species
GACGAACGCUGGCGGCGUGCCUAAUACAUGCAAGUCGAACGAACGGAGCUAGGAACUUGUUUCCGGCAAAGUUAGUGGCGCACGGGUGAGUAACACGUGGAGAACCUACCCUUUUGCGGGGGAUAACCAUUGGAAACGAUGACUAAUACCGCAUAGAAUCGCAGAUCGCAUGAUCAACGAAGGAAAGACGGCUUCGGCUGUCACAAAAGGAUGGCUCCGCGGUGCAUUAGCUAGAUGGUGGGGUAACGGCCUACCAUGGCAAUGAUGCAUAGCCGACCUGAGAGGGUGAUCGGCCACAUUGGGACUGAGACACGGCCCAAACUCCUACGGGAGGCUG